ensembl:lncRNA
GCUUCUGGCGCUUCCAUAUGGAAGAAACGAGUGAAGAUAUUGCCAGACUGACUAACUUGGGUAUGGAAGCUUCAAGAGGGAAGCCAUCAGGCAAGGGUUUUUGAUGAGGGGAAGAUGCUCCCUGAGGGGAAGACUCAAGCAUGAGUGCUUCCUGUGGAGAAAACUCAGACUCUGAAGUUUUUUCUGAGAAACUCACAAGCAUGGGUUCUUCCUCUGAGGAACACACAAGCAUGGGUUCUUCCUCUGGGGAACACACAAUCACGGAUUCUUCCUCUGGGGAACACACAAACAUGGGUUCUUCAUCUAUGGAACACACAAGCAUGGGUUCUUCCUCCAGGGAAUACACAAUCAUGGGUCCUUCCUCUGGGUAACACUCAAGAAUGGGUUCUUUCUGUGGGAAACAUUCAGUCACAGGUGCUCCCUGAGAGGAAGACUCGGGCACAGGAGAUUUCUGUGCAGUCUUGACAGACAAGCAUUUUCUCUGUCUCAAGAAGGCUUGACACUUAUGUAGCUGGUUUUUCUUUGUGGAUAAGACGGGUACAGAUGUUCCUAGGGUAAACAACUUAGGCAUGGGUGUUCUAUGAUUGGAUGAUGCUCCCUGAGGGGAACCUUCGGGAGUAAACACUUCCGCUGGGGGUAACUCAAACACCGGCCCUCCCUCUGAAUAACUCUCAAGCAGAGGUGCUCCCUGUGGGGUCUUAGCAGGUAUGUAUACUCCCUGCAGGGAUCCUGUGGAAACCGGUGUUCCUUGAGAAGAAUACUCCAGCACAGGUGUUCCUGAGAAACCCUCAGACAGGGGCGCUUCCUGUGAGGAACACUGAAGCUCAGAUAAUCUCUCUGGGGUCUUAACACACCUGGGUGCUCUCUGUCUCAAGGAGGCU